GUCAGCAAGAUCUAAGCUGGGCACUGGUCCAUGUUUUCCUUAUUUUUAAAAGAGUCAUUGACCUGACAAAGGCCUGUAGUGAAAUGUGAAGAAAGAAACGAGACCAGACGUGGCUGUGUUUGCUGAAGCUUCUUUCAUCGGACAGAAAAAAACAGGGCUAUGCAUCUGCCUGCAGUCAUCAGAAUACCGAUUGUAUAUUUUAUGAAUGCUCAGCAAUUGGUUUUAAUUAGAAAGUGCACGAGAAGGAAUAAACCAGCCAAACUGGUCAUAGAAGGACUGAAGAUCUGUCCAGUCAUGGUUGUUUUAUGGUUGCCAAGCCAAGCCAUUCUGUCUACAGGACUUCAUCUGAGGCAUUUAUGAUCGUCGCGUGCUGACGGGUUCAGAACGAGGCAGAUGUCGAAGAAAAAUGUUGCCAAGAAGGUAUUUCUUGAAAUGGGUGCCGAGUGCAACAACAAUGCAAUUUUAACAACAUGCUGAUAUAGGUGGAAAGGUAAAAGAAAAGAAAGUGUCAAAAAAAAAUAUGCCAGCAAACAGCUAAGAAAGGAAAACAAUUCCAGAUUGAAUAGCCUUUGAGAAAAAAAGAGAACAAUGGUUCCUGCGAUUAUGAUCAAGUGACUGAUGAUCUAUCCUCUGCCCCCCCCCCAGCUCCUCACCCUACACACGCACUUCUUGCCCCCACUGGGAUUUUUACUGGAAUAUUUUCUGGCGCAUAAAUUGAAAAAUCUUGGCGUUGUCACUGGAAGGUAUUAUUCAUGCCGUCCUUUGAAGCAAAGACUGUAUGGAAGUGGCUUGUUUUUUUUGACACCGCUACGUUUCUAGCACCUCAUUCAGCAUUUCUCUUUUCACUAGGCUGUCAAUACAUUCUGCUGUGCAAAGGCAGGUUAAAAACGAGAAUGCAACUCCCUAAAAUGAAAGUACAGGUAGACCUACCUCGACUUACAACCGUUCGUUUAGUGGCUGUUCGAAGUUGCAAUAGCACUGAAAAAAAGGGACUUAUGACCAUUUUUCAAAGUUAUGACCUUUGCAGCAUUCUCCAUGAUCACGUGUUCAAAAUUCAGAUGAUUGGCAAACUGAUUCAUUUUUUUUUGAAAAAGUUUUUUAUUCCCCCCCCCAUAAACAUAUUUUAAAUGUACAGUUUCUUAACUAACAUACAUAUUUUCUUUUAACUUUCAUACUAAUACAAUCUUCAUCCUAAACAAUUUAAGUAUAUUCGGGGUUGCUCUUCUACCAUUUCAUCUCCUUUGUUUUACAACAAUCCUUUUCUUCUCCCUCUCCUCUCUUUCCUUUCCCUCCUUUCUUCCAUCUACUCUUCUACUUUCUUCUUUCCUCCUCUCCUUCUCCUUCUCUCUUUCCCCUUCCUUUUCCCCAUACCUCCCUUCUUCCUCCCUUCUAACCUUCUCUCCUACUCUUGUUUCCCCUCUCUUUCUUCCUCCCCUUUUCCCUUUUGUCAGCUUUGGAAGCCAUACUAGGCCGAAAGCUUCCAUGCUGCCACUUUCUCAUAUGUGGGAAAGUAGGCGGGGGGGGGGGAUUUAGUAGAGGGGUUGCCAUUAGACAUAAUAACUUUCUUCCUGCUGGUCAAGGUCAGGCCAGUCCUGCAUCUGGGAAAAGAGUGGUCGGAGUGCUGUCUCGAGAUGGGAUGUAUGGUGAUUGGAGCAUGUGAUCGACAGAGGAGUGAGGGGAUGGUUUUGGGGGUUUUGAUUUACUGAGGGAAAACCCAGACCUCUCAGAUUCGGGUUUUCCCAGAUGUGCCAGUUUACCUACCCUAGUAAAAAGAACUUUGAAAGAUGCUUGCUUCGGAGUCUUUACUUGGCGAGGGGAUUUUCUGGAACGCUGACACCUUUCUUCUUUCCUUCUCUCUCCUUCCUCUCUUCUCUCUUCUCUCCUCUAUCCCUCUCCAUUCUCUAUUGUUGUAUUCAUUUUCAAUUUAGUAUUUUCCAAAGUGGUAUUCGAGCAAUCCCGAUUUUUACUUUUUUUUCAAUUACUUUUUCAUUUUACUAAAUUCACACUUAUCAUCGUAAAUGUACAUUUUUAUAAUAAAAUUUUUCUUUCCCCCCCCUUUCCCCUUUUCCAUUUACAAAGGUGUCUUCUGGGUUUCUAUUUCUUUUUUGUCUUCUCUCUCGUUUACUUAUACCUUAUCUAAUUUAUUUCUCUAUAAUCUUUUAUUCGUAUUUCUUUUCUAACCAUACAUAAAAUCGACCCCAUGUCUUGAAAUACAACUAUUCCUCUCUAACUUUUAUUCACAAUGUUAACCUAUUCAUUUCUGCACAUUCUAACAUCUUUUUUAUUACCUCUCCUUCUGAUAGGAUUUUUUCUGUCUUCCACUUUUGUGCAAAUACAAUUCUCGCCACUGUUACUAUAUGAAUAAUCAAAUAUG